GGCGUGGUGCCUGGCGGCUGAGAUGAGACCCGAGAACCUGAUCCGGAUAAUGCCGGCGAAGGGAGAAAAAGA
rnacentral:ncRNA from 1 species